CACGUAAGGGGCAAGCGUUGUUCGGAAUUAUUGGGCGUAAAGGGCGUGUAGGCGGUCUUAUAAGUCUGGUGUAAAAGGCACUGGCUCAACCAGUGUUUUGCGCUGGAAACUGUGAGACUGGAGUUUAGGAGGGGAAGCUGGAAUUCCAGGUGUAGGGGUGAAAUCUGUAGAUAUCUGGAAGAACACCGGUGGCGAAGGCGAGCUUCUAUCCAUAGACUGACGCUGAGGCGCGAAAGCGUGGGGAG
rnacentral:rRNA from 1 species